GGUGAAUGUAAGAGGGAAAAGCCCAAAUUUGUAAUCUGGCUCUUUCAGAGUCCGAGUUGUAAUUUUAAGAACUGUUUUCAGUGCUGGACCAUGUACAAGUCUUCUGAAAAGAAGCAUCAUAGAAGGUGAUAAUCCUGUUCAUGAUAUGGACUACCAGUGCAAUAUGAUACAGUCUCUAAGAGUCGAGUUGUUUGGGAAUGCAGCUCAAAGUGGGUGGUAAAUUCCAUCUAAGGCUAAAUAUUGAUGAGAGACCGAUAGCAAACAAGUACCGUGAGGGAAAGAUGAAAAGAACUUUGGAAAGAGAGUUAACAGUACGUGAAAUUGUUAAAAGGGAAACAAUUGAAGUUAGACUUGUUAUUAAUAGUUCAACCUUUUUUUUUAAAAAGGAGUAUUCUAUUGAUUAACAGACCAACAUCAAUUUUUGGGUGUUGGAUAAGGGUUUAAGGAAAUGUAGCAGUUUUUGACUGUGUUAUAUUCCUUUUGAGCUUUGAUACAAUGCUUAAGAUUGAGGAAUG
rnacentral:rRNA from 1 species